CGGCAGGCCUAAUACAUGCAAGUCGGACGGGAUUGGAACCAGAGCUUGCUCUGAUUCCAUGAGAGUGGCGCACGGGUGCGUAACGCGUGAGCAACCUACCUCUAUCAGGGGGAUAGCCUCUCGAAAGAGAGAUUAAGACCGCAUAAUAUAAUUUUCCGGCAUCGGGAGAUUAUUAAAUAUUUAUAGGAUAGAGAUGGGCUCGCGUGACAUUAGCUAGUUGGUAGGGUAACGGCCUACCAAGGCGACGAUGUCUAGGGGCUCUGAGAGGAGAAUCCCCCACACUGGUACUGAGACACGGACCAGACUCCUACGGGAGGCAGCAGUAAGGAAUAUUGGUCAAUGGGCGGAAGCCUGAACCAGCCAUGCCGCGUGCAGGAUGACUGCCCUAUGGGUUGUAAACUGCUUUUGUCCAGGAAUAAACCUCUUUACGUGUAGAGAGCUGAAUGUACUGGAAGAAUAAGGAUCGGCUAACUCCGUGCCAGCAGCCGCGGUAAUACGGAGGAUCCGAGCGUUAUCCGGAUUUAUUGGGUUUAAAGGGUGCGUAGGCGGCCUAUUAAGUCAGGGGUGAAAUACGGUGGCUCAACCAUCGCAGUGCCUUUGAUACUGAUGGGCUUGAAUCCAUUUGAAGUGGGCGGAAUAAGACAAGUAGCGGUGAAAUGCAUAGAUAUGUCUUAGAACUCCGAUUGCGAAGGCAGCUCACUAAGCUGGUAUUGACGCUGAUGCACGAAAGCGUGGGGAUCGAACAGGAUUAGAUACCCUGGUAGUCCACGCCC
rnacentral:rRNA from 1 species